rnacentral:rRNA from 1 species
AAUCAACGCUGGCGGCGUGCCUAACACAUGCAAGUCGAACGCGAAAGCCCCGCAAGGGGUAAGUAGAGUGGCAAACGGGUGAGUAACACGUGGGUGACCUGCCUUCGAGUGGGGGAUAACGUCCCGAAAGGGACGCUAAUACCGCAUGACAUCCUGCUUUUGAAAAAGCGGAGAUCAAAGCUGGGGAUCGCAAGACCUAGCGCUUGAAGAGGGGCCCGCGCCUGAUUAGCUAGUUGGUGAGGUAACGGCUCACCAAGGCGACGAUCAGUAUCCGGCCUGAGAGGGCGGACGGACACACUGGGGCUGAGACACGGCCCAGACUCCUACGGGAGGCAGCAGUGGGGAAUUGUUCGCAAUGGGCGCAAGCCUGACGACGCAACGCCGCGUGGAGGACGAAGAUCUUCGGGUCGUAAACUCCUGUCGAGCGGGACGAACGCUGCGCGGAUGAAUAAUCCGCGGAAUUGACGGUACCGCUAAAGGAAGCCCCGGCUAACUCCGUG